rnacentral:lncRNA from 1 species
GGGUUUAGAGCAGAAAGAAGAAGAACCAGAAACAACAAAAAAGAAAUUAAUUUUUAUAGUAAAUCCUAUCAAUAAAUAAAUAAUCCUAAACUUAAGGGACUGGAUUUAUUUUAAUAAACUGGAUUAUUCCUAAUAUUGGUUCAGAAAAAUUGGACUUAUAUAAACUUCCCAAUAGUGAGCCCAAUUGAAACACUGAUUUUUUUGUCACUUCAUUGUUUCAAAACAAUCACAAUGUAUGCUUUCAUUAAUUUGAAAAUCAUUGCAAAAGCUUCCAUGGUCGAUCUCAAUCAUUAACGAUUAAAGCCAAACUAGUUCGCCAAGACUUUUCUAUGAAUAAAGCUGAUUGUCAAUUGAUAUGCUAUAUGGAAAAAUACCAGACACAGCUAAGAAGAGUAGACAUGUAACAAAA